rnacentral:rRNA from 1 species
UACAGAGGGGCAAGCGUUAUUCGGAAUUAUUGGGCGUAAAGGGCGCGUAGGCGGCCUGGCAAGUGGAAGGUGAAAUCCCUCGGCUUAACCGAGGAACUGCCCUCCAAACUGCUUGGCUUGAGUCCGGGAGAGGUGAGUGGAAUUCCCAGUGUAGCGGUGAAAUGCGUAGAUAUUGGGAGGAACACCAGUGGCGAAGGCGGCUCACUGGACCGGAACUGACGCUGAGGUGCGAAAGCGUGGGGAGCAAACGGG